rfam:Trichobilharzia regenti genome assembly, scaffold: TRE_scaffold0050136
AUCCACAUGACGAGUCCCAAAUAGCACGAAAUGCGCAUCCUGGAA